GCUUUGUUCAUUCAGAUUUUGCCGUUUUCCCACCCUCUGCCCAUCUAGUACCUCUGUCCGCCAUAAGGCAUGGCUCCAGGUGUCAUGCCUCCUCCGUAUGCACUCGCACCACCGAAACCUGGUGUUGUGUAGCCCGGGUCGGCUCCUCCGCCGCCGUAUGCAGAGCGGUUUCCGCCGUAUGCACUCUGUCCUCCGUACGCGCUCAUGCCGCCUCCGU
rnacentral:misc_RNA from 1 species